rnacentral:misc_RNA from 1 species
AAUGCAAGCCUUACAGUUGUUCGCAAAUCCUUAACUGCAAAAAAAUGUUUAAAAAAAACACUAAAAAAAAUGUUUUGAUGGGGCAAUCUCUAAAACGAAUCUUAUAUACAACACAAGAUUGCAAUUCAAUAAUUACUUACAACUAAGAAAGUGGAAGAAAUUGAUGGAAAAACGCUGGUGUCUUUAACUGAGACAAUGGUGGCCAGUUUAUGUCAGACAAUUCGUCGGCAAGUAGUACUCAUUGAAAUUAUAAGGCAUCUUAUAACUUCACAUGAACAGCACGAAAGAACUAGCUCUUAUGUUAUUGAAAAUGAUGUUUUAAAUACAUCAAUAACAUCCCCAAUAUCUUGUGAUGAAGAUGGUAGUAUGAUUGCUGGAGUGUCCCAAAGUAUGAAACCAUGGCCAGUGUGUUAUCAACUACCCAUU